AUGAUGCCGAGAUGCCAUCACUAUCCGGUCUGGGGGGACCCGGACCUAGGGUUUCCCCUGAGCUCGAAGAGGGGCGCAGCUGAAGGCCUUGGCAACGCCUCCAAGAAGGAAACGACACCCGCGGGCGCCGUCGUUGCCAGCACCGGCAAAAAAACCGAGCAGGGAUCUCUCCCUGGCCUGAAGCUGCACGAUCCCAUAGCCGCCGAUUCUGAAAUCAUGGAUGAGGAGGCCAAUGUUGAUCGGAACCACCAUCAGGAAGGGGUUCGCGGGGCUGCACCUGCGGUCGGAGGGUGGCACUGCCUCCAAACCCGUGAGCAUUGGAUCCAGCAAAAGGAGGAGGCUUUGAGGCGUACAGGGUAG
rnacentral:rRNA from 1 species